AUGUCGAAUAGCAGCUCAAAGAAGAGUCAGAAGAACCAUCUACUUCCGAUACAGCAGCAACCAACAGAACGGCGCAAGACUGAUGCCACAAGCAGGAUUGAUCCCAUACGCCGAAAGAAGAUCUGCCGUUCCUGUCAACCGCUGCUCGCCGCUGCUCUCGUAAUCGAAUGAGUUUGCAGCUAAUAAUUCUACUUCAACUUAAAGACUUGGUCAAGACGUCAGACUUAGUCCAUCCAUAAUCAUCCAUCGGUAGUUAAGAAACCCUGACGGAUUGGUAUAGGCGAUUGUAUAGCAUCUAGCGGAGAAAUUCUUUACUGCCCAUCUGCCAUUGCCAUUCAUCGUCUGCUACUUAAUGAUUUUUUCAUUUCUUGCGCCAGCAAGGUGUGCAGUGUGCAUUUCUAUGUGAUCUAUUUGCUUAUAAACUUGACUCUCUUGAGAGAAUGCAAAUUUUAGUGUUUUGUCGGAAUAUACAUCAUCUACAAUUACAAAUAAAACACAAGUCAGGUUUCACUUAGUAUAUGCUCCUAUUGAGAAGAAUGGCGGGUAUCCGGAAGGUGAUGUUAGCCGAUGGCCUCAACUCAGCUACACAAAAUGCAAAUGUUCAUGAACGGACCCCACGGCAUUUACUCCGCAAUCCAGCAGUGAUCAACUUGUGUGAACCCAGUUCCAGUGUUCCAGCGUCAAGACACACACCCUCCGGUAAAACGGAAGAGCCAUCAAUCGACAUUCGAUGGCCGGAGCUGAAAGGAGGACGACAUUUUGGGCCGGCCUGGCUCUCAUGGGCGUUCGAUUCGGCCCUUUAGCCCGUCUUACUUGGGAGGAAAACAGCUGGGAUAAUAUGGAACCCAUUACGUAAUUGUUGGCUGUUUAGUCAUAAUCCAAAUAUUGAAGCCCUCAUCAGUUCCAAUUCUUUGCUGCCACUAUAUUAAAGUGGACUGUGAGUGAGUGUGUGUGCCACUCUAGAGGUUGCAGAAAUCACCAAAAUAACUUCUCAUUUAAGAGUUAAGACGAUCUAGGAUUGAUUGUUUUGAGUUGAAUCCUUUACCGCUGUUCCAAAGACUUGAUUCUUUGGUGAAACUGAGGAGAGAAUGCUGCAAUUCAAGACUGGCUGAUAAAUUGUGUAGUUGUUAGAUAAAUUAAAAGUGCAUAUAUCUGGGCUCCCUUCUUUUCUGUGGCCCCGUUUCCCUAACUAACCACUAACCAACGCCCGCCG
rnacentral:lncRNA from 1 species